GUUAAAGUGGGACACUCAGAGGGAUGGUUAGAACUAUGUGUGAAUGACAAACAGAAGUUAAUACAGUAUUGCAGAAACUUGGAAAAACUGUCUGGAUGGUGCAACGGAUUUUAAAGAGUUAAUUCCAGAAUUCUAUGGUGAUGAUGUGAGCUUUCUAGUCAAUAGCCUGAAGUUGGAUUUGGGAAAGAGACAAGGAGGACAGAUGGUUGACGAUGUGGAGCUUCCCCCUUGGGCCUCCAGUCCUGAGGACUUUCUCCAGAAGAGCAAAGAUGCGUUGGAAAGCAAUUAUGUGUCUGAACACCUUCACGAGUGGAUCGAUCUAAUAUUUGGCUACAAACAAAAAGGGAGUGAUGCAGUUGGGGCCCAUAAUGUAUUUCAUCCCCUGACCUAUGAAGGAGGUGUAGACUUGAACAGCAUCCAGGAUCCUGAUGAGAAGGUAGCCAUGCUUACGCAAAUCUUGGAAUUUGGGCAGACACCAAAACAACUAUUUGUGACACCACAUCCUCGAAGGAUCACCCCAAAGUUUAAAAGUUUGUCCCAGACCUCCAGUUAUAAUGCUUCU
rnacentral:sRNA from 1 species